UCUACUCAGAGGGCUUUGUACAUUGAUGUGAUGUUGGAGAAUUACAGCAAUCUGGUCUGUGUUGAGAAGCAUCACAUGUGUGGUAAAUGUGAGAAGGUCUUGGAUCAACACUCAGAACAUAUAGUCUAUCAACAUGAGAGUAUCCAAGAGGAGUCUGACACAUAUAAGGAGCUUGGCAAAAUGAUUCAUGAGUCCUCUCCAUGUACACCUUACAACACAAGAGGCAAUGUAGAAAACUGCACGAAGUGUGGAUGUGGUAUCUACGAGGAUGCUUCUACAGAACCCUCAAACCUAAACAGACAUAAAAGUGUACACACUAGAGAAGAACUUUUCCAAUAUAAAGAGUGUGGCAAGUGUUUAUGUUCCAACAUUAGUACAAAUCAGAGUAUCCACA
rnacentral:lncRNA from 1 species